UAUCAGUGAUGAACCUAUCCCGAACCUGACUUGCUGAUGAGAAAUUUUAUACGGAUCUGGCUUCUGAGAU
ensembl:snoRNA